rnacentral:rRNA from 1 species
CCUACGGGAGGCAGCAGUGGGGAAUAUUGCACAAUGGGCGAAAGCCUGAUGCAGCCAUGCCGCGUUAAGAAGGCCUUCGGGUUGUAAAGUACUUUCAGCGAGGAGGAAAGGUUGUUGGUUAAUAACCAACAGCUGUGACGUUACUCGCAGAAGAAGCACCGGCUAACUUCGUGCCAGCAGCCGCGGUAAU